AUUGAACGCUGGCGGCAGGCCUAACACAUGCAAGUCGAGCGGAUGACGGGAGCUUGCUCCUGGAUUCAGCGGCGGACGGGUGAGUAAUGCCUAGGAAUCUGCCUGGUAGUGGGGGACAACGUUUCGAAAGGAACGCUAAUACCGCAUACGUCCUACGGGAGAAAGCAGGGGACCUUCGGGCCUUGCGCUAUCAGAUGAGCCUAGGUCGGAUUAGCUUGUUGGUGAGGUAAUGGCUCACCAAGGCGACGAUCCGUAACUGGUCUGAGAGGAUGAUCAGUCACACUGGAACUGAGACACGGUCCAGACUCCUACGGGAGGCAGCAGUGGGGAAUAUUGGACAAUGGGCGAAAGCCUGAUCCAGCCAUGCCGCGUGUGUGAAGAAGGUCUUCGGAUUGUAAAGCACCUUAAGUUGGGAGGAAGGGUUGUAGAUUAAUACUCUGCAAUUUUGACGUUACCGACAGAAUAAGCACCGGCUAACUCUGUGCCAGCAGCCGCCGUAAGAC
rnacentral:rRNA from 1 species